rnacentral:rRNA from 1 species
UACGUAGGGUGCGAGCGUUGUCCGGAAUUACUGGGCGUAAAGAGCUCGUAGGCGGUUUGUCGCGUCUGCUGUGAAAUCCCGAGGCUCAACCUCGGGCCUGCAGUGGGUACGGGCAGACUAGAGUGUGGUAGGGGAGACUGGAAUUCCUGGUGUAGCGGUGAAAUGCGCAGAUAUCAGGAGGAACACCGGUGGCGAAGGCGGAUCUCUGGGCCAUUACUGACGCUGGAGGAGCGAAAGCGUGGGGAGC